UGAGAACAUGGCCAGGCAGUGAGGAAGCUGAGAGCUAUAUCCUGGAAGAUCUUCCCUGAGGAGCAGGAAGGAAUAUGCCAGAGUAUGCUGAGUCCUCGUAACUGAGAAAAUCUGAGAUUCAAGAGAUCCCUGUUUAGCCUUUCAGAUCCAAAGACAGGAUGAACUGCCUCAGCCACCAUUGCAGCAAACUGGAACCAUGCGCCGAAUUCUGGGUAUAUGAGUGACCUAUUUUUCCCAAGAAGUCAAGGUUUAGACGUCAAGAAAAAAUUAGAUUCAGCUUCACAAGGCCAAACGCAGGCCCAGGAUGAAAACCAACCAGAGACGUCCAGAGGGUCAAGGAAAAAAGACGUUCAAUCUCCAAGACCAAACACAGGCUGAAGAAGACAGCCAGCAAGGCCACAUGCUCCCCUCCCCUUUCCCGAAACACCAAAUAAAAACCCCUACAUUUUUCCCUUUGAGAAGGUGGAUUUGAGUUUUGACUCGCAUUUCUUUGCCUGGCUGCCUUUUGAUAAUAAACCCCUCUCCUUGCUAAAAGCCUGACAUUUCAAUUAUUGGCUUUCCUGCACAUUGGGUAACAAACCCCUGUAUGUGUUCGGUAACAAGUGCUUGUUAAUUUUGUAAUUUAAGAAGAUAAGUUUAGCAACAUAUUUCAAAGCAGAAAACAUUCGGUGCAAAAACCGCCUCAAAAUCUUUUUGAUUGGUAGAGGAGUAUUU